GCGCCGAAAAUGUACCGGGGCUAAACAUAUUACCGAAGCUGUGGAUUGUCCUUUGGACAAUGGUAGGAGAGCGUUCUAAGGGCGUUGAAGCAUGAUCGCAAGGACAUGUGGAGCGCUUAGAAGUGAGAAUGCCGGUGUGAGUAGCGAAAGACGGGUGAGAAUCCCGUCCACCGAUUGACUAAGGUUUCCAGAGGAAGGCUCGUCCGCUCUGGGUUAGUCGGGUCCUAAGCUGAGGCCGACAGGCGUAGGCGAUGGAUAACAGGUUGAUAUUCCUGUACCACCUAUAAUCGUUUUAAUCGAUGGGGGGACGCAGUAGGAUAGGCGAAGCGUGCGAUUGGAUUGCACGUCUAAGCAGUAAGGCUGAGUAUUAGGCAAAUCCGGUACUCGUUAAGGCUGAGCUGUGAUGGGGAGAAGACAUUGUGUCUUCGAGUCGUUGAUUUCACACUGCCGAGAAAAGCCUCUAGAUAGAAAAUAG
rnacentral:rRNA from 1 species